rnacentral:rRNA from 1 species
GGAGGAAGCAGGGGAUCGCAAGACCUUGCGCUUUUGGAGCGGCCGAUGUCUGAUUAGCUUGUUGGUUAGGUAAAAGCUUACCAAGGCUUCGAUCAGUAGCUGGUCUGAGAGGACGACCAGCCACACUGGGACUGAGACACGGCCCAGACUCCUACGGGAGGCAGCAGUGGGGAAUUUUGGACAAUGGGGGCAACCCUGAUCCAGCCAUGCCGCGUGAGUGAAGAAGGCCUUCGGGUUGUAAAGCUCUUUCAGCCGGAACGAAACGGUUACGGUUAAUACCCGUGACUACUGACGGUACCGGAAGAAGAAGCACCGGCUAACUACGUGCCAGCAGCCGCGGUAAUACGUAGGGUGCGAGCGUUAAUCGGAAUUACUGGGCGUAAAGCGUGCGCAGGUGGUUUUGUAAGUCAGAUGUGAAAUCCCCGGGCUCAACCUGGGAACUGCGUUUGAAACUACAAAGCUAG